CCUACGGGCGGCUGCAGUGAGGAAUAUUGGUCAAUGGGCGUAAGCCUGAACCAGCGAAGCCGCGUGAGGGAUGAAGGUUCUAUGGAUCGUAAACCUCUUUUAUAAGGGAAUAAAGUGUGGGACGUGUCCUAUUUUGUAUGUACCUUAUGAAUAAGGAUCGGCUAACUCCGUGCCAGCAGCCGCGGUAAUACGGAGGGUCCGAGCGUUAUCAGGAUUUAUUGGGUUUAAAGGGUGCGUAGGCGGCCUUGUAAGUCAGAAGUGAAAGUCGGUGGCUCAACCAUAGGAUUGCCGUUGAAACUGGGGGGCUUGAGUAUGUGUGAGGCAGGCGGAAUGCGUGGUGUAGCGGUGAAAUGCUUAGAUAUCACGCAGAACCCCGAUUGCGAAGGCAGCCUGCCAAGCCAUGACUGACGCUGAUGCACGAAAGCGUGGGGAUCAAACAGGAUUAGAUACCCUUGUAGUC
rnacentral:rRNA from 1 species